GGAGGGGGCUAGCGUUGUUCGGAAUUACUGGGCGUAAAGCGCGCGUAGGCGGACCUGCAAGUCGGGGGUGAAAGCCCGAGGCUCAACCUCGGAACUGCCUUCGAUACUGCGGGUCUCGAGUCCGGGAGAGGUGAGUGGAAUUCCUAGUGUAGAGGUGAAAUUCGUAGAUAUUAGGAAGAACACCAGUGGCGAAGGCGGCUCACUGGCCCGGUACUGACGCUGAGGCGCGAAAGCGUGGGGAGCAAACAGGAUUAGAUACCCUGGUAGUCCACGCCGUAAACUAUGGGUGCUAGCCCGUCGGUCGGCAUGCCGGUCGGUGGCGCAGCAAACGCAUUAAGCACCCCCGCCUGGGGGAGUACGGUCGCAAGAUUA
rnacentral:rRNA from 1 species